UUUCACCCAAUCAAAAUGUUCUUCUCUGUUGCUCGGCAGAUAGUUGUCAAAUCAGCCAAUCAUAUCCUCUAAGUGGGCUGGCUUUGUAGUGACAAGCUCCGCCCCUUUUGAGGACUAACCAGUCAGAGCUCAACCUGCAUGUCCGGUGUUCUGUCAGAUCAGCAUAAACUGUCAGAUCGUUAUACGCUUAGCACGAACUGACGGCUAUAUCUAUCAGACAGGUAUACAUUGUACAUAUGAUUUUAUUUAAUUAGCAACAUAGAAUCAUGACGUAGAUCGUCAUACACUUUGCUGUUAACAGCUGUAUGACAUCUUGAUUUAGCGGUUAAUUAGGUUAAUGGGUUUUACAUGGGCGUGUGUUGUAGUUGACUGGAGCUGCAGCUAUACCCUGCUUUAAAUAUACUUUAAAACCACGGCAACACAUGUAUAUCUAUCUACUUAUCAUUAAAAACAAUUUAAUUACUUAUUUUCGUCACAAUGUGCCCUCUAUGCUGAACUGACAGCUCCUCUGACGGUCGGACUUCUUAAUGCGCAUGUCUGCGCAUGCGUACUCACUGCACAUAUGCUAUUCUGACAGUGUAUGAUAAUCUGAUAGAACACCGGUUCUGGCAGCGGGUCAACUUCAGAGCUAUCCGCGAUUAAAACAAAGAAGAAGAAUUUGAGCCACGCAGAGAGGCUGCUAGCGUAAGUCGGGAUCGGAGCUACCGGGUUACCAAACAACUGCAGGAAGAAAGAGAGGAGGACGGGAUGAAGAUGUGAGGAGGAGGUGGUUGCCAUGGUUACAAACAGCCGACUGCUGGGGUUUUAAAUCAUCUGAAGUUUGUAAGUUCUAAAUAGUGUCACUCUCUUCCCUUAAGACGCCCUUUUAUAUGUUAAUUUCCCUGAAAUAACUGCAUGUGGGAGAGUUUU